AUUGAACGCUGGCGGCAGGCCUAACACAUGCAAGUCGAACGGCAGCACAGAAGAGCUUGCUCUUUGGGUGGCGAGUGGCGGACGGGUGAGUAAUGUCUGGGAAACUGCCCGAUGGAGGGGGAUAACUACUGGAAACGGUAGCUAAUACCGCAUAACGUCGCGAGACCAAAGUGGGGGACCUUCGGGCCUCACACCAUCGGAUGUGCCCAGAUGGGAUUAGCUAGUAGGUGGGGUAAUGGCUCACCUAGGCGACGAUACCUAGCUGGUCUGAGAGGAUCACCAGCCACACUGGAACUGAGACACGGUCCAGAAUCCUACGGGAGGCAGCAGUGGGGAAUAUUGCACAAUGGGCGCAAGCCUGAUGCAGCCAUGCCGCGUGUAUGAAGAAGGCCUUCGGGUUGUAAAGUACUUUCAGCGGGGAGGAAGGCGGUGAGGUUAAUAACCUCGCCGAUUGACGUUACCCGCAGAAGAAGCACCGGCUAACUCCGUGCCAGCCGCCGCGGUAA
rnacentral:rRNA from 1 species